rnacentral:rRNA from 1 species
ACAUGCCUACAACAUAGUGUUAAUGCAUCGGAUCCCAUUAUAACUCCGUAGUUAAGUGUGCUCAUGCUAGUGUAGAACUGGGAUCGGUGACCACCCGGGAAGUCCUAGUGUUUUACAUGCC